rnacentral:rRNA from 1 species
GGGUAACGCGUGGGAAUCUGCCUUUAGGUUCGGAAKAACUCAGAGAAAUUUGAGCUAAUACCGGAUAAUGUCUUCGGACCAAAGAUUUAUCGCCUUUAGAUGGGCCCGCGUUGGAUUAGCUUGUUGGUGGGGUAAUGGCCUACCAAGGCGACGAUCCAUAGCUGGUCUGAGAGGAUGAUCAGCCACACUGGGACUGAGACACGGCCCAGACUCCUACGGGAGGCAGCAGUGGGGAAUAUUGGACAAUGGGCGAAAGCCUGAUCCAGCAAUGCCGCGUGAGUGAUGAAGGCCUUGUUGU